AUACGAAGGUCCCAAGCGUUAUUCGGAAUCACUGGGCGUAAAGAGUACGUAGGCGGUUUGGUAAGUCAGGUGUGAAAUCCCGGAGCUCAACUCCGGAACUGCAUCCGAUACCGCCAGACUUGAGUAAUGGAGAGGCAGGUGGAAUUCUCGGUGUAGCAGUGAAAUGCGUGGAUAUCGAGAGGAAGACCAAUGGCGAAGGCAGCCUGCUGGACAUUUACUGACGCUGAGGUACGAAGGCUAGGGGAGCGAAAGGGAUUAGAAACCCCAGUAGUCC
rnacentral:rRNA from 1 species